rnacentral:lncRNA from 10 species
CACCGGAUCAGGAGGCAGGCUUGUUCACAGUCCUUCUUGGUCAGCCGUUGAUUUCCAGAAUGUCCACAGGCAGGUAGUUUCUUUUCAUUUCUUUCAAAGGUUUCAUUUUCUCCUGCUGUUCACACUGCAUGAGAAUUGGGAGCAGGACAUUGUAAAUACUUUAGCCACCCUGCAUUUUGAAGUUAAAGGGCACGCUGUGAAGCAGGCCAUGGGGUGGAGAGAAAGCAGUGGGCCAGAAGUUGGCAGCACGUUGAUUCUCAUCCCUGAUCCCCACUCUGUAUGUAUGAAUUUGCCCCAUCUUUAUGCUUUGGAAGCCUCUGUUUUAUCAUCAGAGGGAAUUUUUUUUUCUUCUUUUUUUAAGUAGUGGAGUCUUUCAAAUACGGGGGAAAUCUUAUAUACACUUCCUCAAAUAUUAAAAAAUAUGUAUUUGCAUUUUUAUAUGUAUAUAUGUAUAAAAAGUGCAGCUAUUUUGAUUGAACUAAGGUUUAGGACCAGACUGUCACCAGCUCAGGCUAUCUGUCCUGAGCGCCCUGAGGCACUUCCUCUGUUGGGCCUCCACUAGCCUGGAAGUUUGGGUGAAUUUUUUAAAAAGCGUCAUGCCCUAGUCUGAUGCAGCCCCCGCACCAGGCCCUAUAUGGGAGCAAGGUGAGCAAGGGCUCAGGGGAAGCCACUCCCCUCCCCUUGGUCUGCUACAAAUUGCCCAGGUCCUGCCCUCAGACUCCUAGCAGUUGAAAAUUGUUGAACUUGGUUGCUCCAACGAGCUUCUUCCAGAUCUUCAGUGUAAUAGACACAGCCAAUCUGGAUUGAGGACUGGAGUCUACACCGCCGUGAACCACUGGAGUUGUCAGAUGAAGGUGGCAGAAUGGAGAGAAGUAUCAGGCAUAAGCUACAGUCAUAUAAACCUUGAUACAGAUGUGAAUUGAGAUGGGAUUUUUCUGUGUUUUCCAGACUGGUCUCAAACUCCUGGCCUCAAGUGAUCCUACCACCUCAACCUUCCAAAGUGCUGGGAUUAUAG